rnacentral:rRNA from 1 species
UACAGAGGUCUCAAGCGUUGUUCGGAUUCAUUGGGCGUAAAGGGUGUGUAGGUGGCGCGCUAAGUCGGGUGUGAAAUUUCGGAGCUUAACUCCGAAACUGCAUUCGAUACUGGCGUGCUUGAGGACUGGAGAGGAGACUGGAAUUCAUGGUGUAGCAGUGAAAUGCGUAGAGAUCAUGAGGAAGACCAGUGGCGAAGGCGGGUCUCUGGACAGUUCCUGACACUGAUACACGAAGGCCAGGGGAGCAAACGGG